UGCCUACGGGGCGCAGCAGUGGGGGAUAUUGCACAAUGGGGGAAACCCUGAUGCAGCGACGCCGCGUGAGUGAAGAAGUAUUUCGGUAUGUAAAGCUCUAUCAGCAGGGAAGAAAAUGACAGUACCUGACCAAGAAGCCCCGGCUAACUACGUGCCAGCAGCCGCGGUAAUACGUAGGGGGCAAGCGUUAUCCGGAUUUACUGGGUGUAAAGGGAGCGUAGACGGCAGCGCAAGUCUGGAGUGAAAUGCCGGGGCCCAACCCCGGAACUGCUUUGGAAACUGUGCGGCUCGAGUGCG
rnacentral:rRNA from 1 species